ACGAACGCUGGCGGCGUGCCUAAUACAUGCAAGUAGAACGCACAGUUUAUACCGUAGCUUGCUACACCAUAGACUGUGAGUUGCGAACGGGUGAGUAACGCGUAGGUAACCUGCCUGGUAGCGGGGGAUAACUAUUGGAAACGAUAGCUAAUACCGCAUAAUAUUAAUUAUUGCAUGAUAAUUAAUUGAAAGGUGCAAUUGCACCACUACCAGAUGGACCUGCGUUGUAUUAGCUAGUAGGUGAGGUAACGGCUCACCUAGGCGACGAUACAUAGCCGACCUGAGAGGGUGAUCGGCCACACUGGGACGGAGACACGGCCCAGACUCCUACGGGAGGCAGCAGUAGGGAAUCUUCGGCAAUGGACGAAAGUCUGACCGAGCAACGCCGCGUGAGUGAAGAAGGUUUUCGGAUCGUAAAGCUCUGUUGUAAGAGAAGAACGGGUGUGAGAGUGGAAAGUGCACACUGUGACGGUAUCUUACCAGAAAGGGACGGCUAACUACGUG
rnacentral:rRNA from 1 species